CCACAGUGCGGAGCAGGGGGGCGGACUGCCACCCGCAGGGCAGCCGAAGGAACCCAGCCAGGAGUCUCUCAAGACCACAUGGGUUUGAUCUGGAUUCCGGCAACCCGAAGAAGCACCGAGGCACUGUAGGAGAGAACCCAGGUGCCUGGGAUGAAGAGGAACAGAAGUGGUGGCGGUCCCGUGGCUCAGCAGAAGCAAAUCCGACUCGUAUCCAU